AUUAUUCACUAAACAAAUUAUUCACUAAGACAAGGUCACGUGAUGUUUUUGUUUACACUUUUGAUAAGAUCAAUGACCCCUGCGAUAUUGUGAAAUCAAGUCAAGGUCGUGUGAUGUUUUCGUUUACAUAUUUCAGAAAGUUUAUGAUGUGAUGUCAUGAUGAGGUCACGAAGGGUCAAGUGAGAUCAACAACAUGAUACUAAACUUAUAAGAUGUGAGUUUUGAUAGUUUAAAAUCUUGUUUCAUAGUACAUUGCUUUAGUUCCAACACUCUACUUCUGAAAUAUUGACUUGUAGUAUGAAGUCAUAUCAAUAACUAUAUUUGUAUUUUAAAUAUGAUCGAAUUUUACUUCAACUUAAAUAUUCUGAAUAUGUUACCUUUAGGUCGGCCACUUUUGCUUUAAUUUUACAAAGUAUAUCUUUGAAAAUUUUUGAAGUAUUUCUGUUUAUUUACACAGUGUUUCAUUUGAAAUCAAUGUGACAGAGUGGAAUGUAAGUAUGUAUUCGCUAAAUAGCUCAAAAAAAUAUACCCACAUUCCAUGCUCGGUGGUUUUCCAUGAAAAACUUAAUUUUGUAAUUUUAAAUUUAGGAAUGGCGCGAUCACAACUCAUAAAAGUUGCGCGCUCCUAACACGAUUUUAAUUACUCAGCAUUUCGUUAUGCGGCUAAUGCUGUUACUCGCGUUAAUUCAAUUACACAAGUUGUCAGUCUAUCAUGUCAUCCGUAAGCGAUUUACCAAUGGCAAAACGAACGCAGCACAAAAAUAAAAGAAACAAAUAAAAUAAAAGACGUGAAAAAAAUACAUUUGGUCCCACUUGUUUAGCUUAGUGCUUCUAUUAAUUCUGAAAUUUAUGUUGACGUAUUUAUUUUUAGCGCAUUUAGACAUAGAAUUGCUGACUCUUUGAUUGUUUAAUUUUUUUGUUAGAAUUAUGUUGAUUUCAGUGUAGUUUUGUGUCCACACGAUUUAAAUUAUAAUGCGCUACAACAUAAAUUUAUAUGUAUGAAUUUACAUAUAUAAUGUAAUAUUUUAUAAAAAACCUCACAGUAAAUAAGCAAACGCUUUUCUUUGUGUUCAUCUUUAAUUUAAACCGAAAUGACAAAAGCAUUUUUGGGGCAAGUGUAUCGAAAUAUUGUGUGGCUUUGUGUGGCACAAUGGCUUUUUUCCAUAUAAAAGCCAUAAUUCCAGAGGCUCAUAAAUAAGAAUCUUCGAACUAAUUCUUAUAUGAAAACGCGAAAGAUCAAAGCUGGAUAGUUUCUGUUGAGGAACCACCGGUAAUUUUGCAAAUCGGACUGACGUUUGGAACGACUUGGCGCAUUUUAUUUUGAGAUCUUAAAUUGAAAUCAUACAAAAUACAGCUUGUGCAAGAACUGAUCUUGAAUGCCUGAAAUUGAAGAUCGUGAUCUCGGCGACAUGACAUCAAUCAAGAUUAUCAGAUAAUUUAGGCCGGUCCUUUGACCGCCAAGAUCAUGUGAUAUCAGACCAUUAGACUUUUUCCUGUGGGGCGUCAUCACAAGAGCCAUAAAGUUCAAAUUCUUCUGCCGAAGUGAUGUAAUAUUUAUUUGUUUCAAUCACACGAGUUCUCCGCAGCAGGCUUAAUAGCUUCUGGGUAUCGCUGCUGCUAAUAAAGAUUUCAAAGCCCUUGAUUUUGUGCAGUUGUUGGAUUCUAUUUUAUUCAUAGCAAACUAACUCUGCCUUAAAAUAAAAAUAUAAUAAAUAAAAUGAGAUCGGAGACUGUUACUAAGAUUAAGAGUGGUGUUUCUGCUUCGGAGUUAGUAAAAAUAAUUUUUUUAUAAUUUAAUUAAAAAGUACGAAACGAAGUAUUAUAUUGACAAUUUAAAGAUAAAUGUGCGAAAAACGGUGAUACGAAAAACCACAAUGAAUCUCGUUAAUAUUGAAGCAACAUCGAAUUAGCAUAUUGCAAUAACAGUCAAUGAUCUUACAUUGUUCAGGAGCAUAAAAAAAACUUACAUAAACACCUACGUUGUGCAUAAAGUGGUCGACAUUUCGAAACCAACAAAGCUAGUCCCACUCAUUUGUCUUAGAUUACAUCAUAAAGUCUUUACAUUUUUGGUAAAAUGUUUUGUGGACAGAUAAGGCUGUAUUUUAGUUCCAGAGCUCACUUAGUAGAUGCUUUAUAUAUUUACCGAGUGAGAAGAAAGGAACAGUUCAUCCGCCAAACAUAGUCGGAGAUGACAUAAAGAAUUUUUGGAGAAGUUUUCAUUUCUUGUCUUUUGGAGAUGGAGAUUUGGUACUAAUAUACCCCCUCAUAUUGUUAUUAUCUGUAAAAAAUUACAUUUUCAUAGCUUUAUUUUUGGCAAGGUUAUAGCAUCGGCUAACGCCAUUUUGUGGGCAUGGCAAUUGUCCGAUUUCGCCCAUCUUCAAUACCAACCCUCAUUCGGUGCAUCUCAAGUUUCAUAUACAAGUUGUCCAUUCUCAUGUUCACGUUGCUCAAGUUAUCGCUUGCACGGACGAAUGGGCAGACAGACAACAGAAUUUCAACUCUACUCACCACCCUGAUCACUUGGAUAUAUAUAACACAAACAACCGUUAUAUGAACAAAACUGUAAUAUUCUGUGCAACGAGGUGCCUAAGUAUAAAAAGUAAUAAAAUACAGGAAGAAAUGAAAUAUGUAUUGGAUCUAUAGAUUUUAUCGUCGACGAAUGACACAAGUUCAAAUCUUUAUUAUGGAUUGAAUAUGCAACUUUUAUUUCUUUGCAAACCUGACCAAUAACCUUGAAUAAAAAAUAACAUGAAAUGAGCUAAAACAAAAAAAAUGUUUGCUUAAUUAGUCCGACUUUGAAAAACACAAGCUAACCGCCAAAAGAAAGUAAAGCGAAAACAAAAGUUUGCAGAAUGGAAUGUUGUUUUGACAUCAGCACUUGAAGAAUUAUGUGCCAUUCUUUCAUUGAACAUAAUUUGUGGCUGAGUUUUAUGGCCUGUUUCAAUUAAGAUGAAAAUUGCGUAACUGUUACACUCUCGCAACAUGUUACAUGAAGAAACUAAUUGGGUUAGUUAUGUCUCUCUAACCUUGAAGAUGGUAAAAUUUAACACACAGCUUACCCUCAAUUAGAAGUAAGAUAUUUUCAUACAAUUAUAAAAUCGGUUCACAUUCUCACCUAACCAUCAUUGAAGUCUUUUAGUUUACUUUACCGAGAAAAUUUAAAAUAACUUAUGUAAUUUUGAGAGUAAAUAACUCUCAACAAACUCAGCGCUACUGAGAUUACAAAAAAUGGUAUAAAAUAAUUUGUUAAAUUAAAAAAAAAAACAUAGGCAUUAAUUUUAUUAGAGCCCCGUUUAUCGAUUAAGUCUCUCGUCAGAGGGUAUAACUCUACCGUAGA